rnacentral:rRNA from 1 species
UUUUGAUUAUAAUUUAAAGUCUAACCUGCCCUAUGAUUUAUUAUUAAAUGGCCGCGAUAUUUUGAUCGUGCAAAGGUAGCAUAAUAAUUAGUUUUUUAAUUGAGAACUGGUAUGAAUGGUUGAACGAGAAAAAAACUGUCUCAAUUUAAUUUGAAUUAAAAUUUUAUUUUUAAGUUAAAAAGCUUAAAUAUUUUUAAAAGACGAGAAGACCCUAUAGAGUUUUAUAUAAAUUUAUUAUUUUAAAAAGAAUUGGAAUUUUAAAUUUAAUUAUAAUAAUUUAUAUUUAGUUGGGGUGACUAAAAAAUUUAAUAAACUUUUUUUAAAUUUAAACAUAAAUUUAUGAAUAAAUGAUCC